CCGCCACACACACCUGCUCCACAUGCCCUCAUCAGCUCCUCAGCGUACCUGUCUGUCAGUUGUUUGCUGCAAUCUUAGCUGUUCCUGCUACUUUUGAUGAUGACUCCUUACUUUUGCCACUUUGGACUGCCCGCCUGUUGCCAAAACUCUGUUUUCAGCACACAGCUCGUGAGCUCGGUCCAGUCCGCAUGCAACCCGCAACUCCAGCCUGUGGAGAACCGGGAGAAGAGCCACGACUCAGCUCUACCGGGCCGGUGGCAGGUGCAUUUCCUUUGGCCGGGCAUGCAGUCGCAGGGCUGCUCCAGCUGGAUGUUUUUGACCAGGUGCCGCCCAAACGUUGUCCCGCCGGUCUUCUGAAUGUGGAGGAACACCAUCACGUCAUCUCCUCGGAUGUUGAAGUCGACGUGCCUGUCCAGGUCCCGCUCCGUGAAGUUAAAUUUGGAUGUGAUUUUGGAGGGGAUCCACCAGCAGGCCCACAGACCUGCAGUGCAGCGACGGCACCACGCCAACCUGUGCCCGGCUCCCACCACAGCUCCAUCCAAAACGUUUAAUCAAAAGAGACAUUCUCUCCACUUGGUCCCGCAAGGAAAUAGAAACUGUUGAGCUGUUGGCCCAUGCUGUGCACCCUGGCAGCUCGACAAAGAAUAACCCAGAAUGGUCUACUCUCCGCUUCAGCGCCAGGGCAUUGGAGAGGAGGCCAGUGAUACAAUCUGCAUUUUCCAACAGGUGCCACUUCCAAGAAAACUGUUCCAGCGAAGUGUCUUGGCAGUGAUGAAGCAUAAAAGAGCUGAGGCCUACAGGAACGAGUCCACGUAUCGUCGACAAAUGGAAAAACGAGUCUGUGGGAAGUUCUCCGGAUCUAUUGCUAGGACGUCUUGUGAUGAAUAGCUAACCUUGUUUCCCAAAACUCUGCUCCAGUGCAGCGGCUUCAUCACUAUGCAGCUCUAUCUUCAUACAUCUAACUCCCUUCCUGAUUUAUUGGAGGCUAUGGCAGAGACGCUAGACCUCGCAUCAAACGCUAUGGCAUUUUGUGCACAAGUACAAAUGCUUACAUAGACUGUGUGAAGACAGAUACAUUUGUAAGAUGGAUGAAUGGUGCACAUUUGAAUUGCAAAACAUUCAGACACUCAUUACAUGGAUUUGUUGGAAAAUGCAGUGUCUCUGUAAAGAAAAAUCUCUGCAUCUAGUGCCAACAUA